CCGUGAUCAUAUUUGAAUCUCCAGUUGUACAAAAUAGGCUCAUUGGAAGCUAAUAUGUGAGAUUCACCACCCAGGGGUUUGGUCAGUAGGUAAUGGUGUGAUUGCCCACGUGAGGCUGAGUUCUGGAAGCAUCAGCAAGGGGGCCCAGCCAUGCUCAUUGUCCAUCCUCUUCCCAAAGAUGUGUUACUCUCCCCACUUCCUGCCCAGGUGGGAAGAGGAGCAGGCUCCCAGACAAACCCUCUCUCAGCAAAGCCUGGGAGACACUCUUUGGAUGGAAAUCUCCUCUUGCUUUGCUUGGGACAGUGGAACUCCUAGGUCACCAGCUGCCCUGGAAUUCUUCUUUCAUCGGAGCUUUGGUUCCUUGUUCGCUUCAGCACCUGGACAUCUUGUGUGCAGCCCUUCCUCCUUUGAGAAGUACCCUGCAGUGCCCAGGCUCUGCUCUCUGACAGACCUGAACUUGCAGCCAACCCUGCCAUUUAUACCUGAAUAAGUUGCCUCAGGCUCCCACCCCCAUUUCCCUAGAGCAGGGAGGACAAUGGGAGGAGCUGUCCUGGUCACUGAACACAGGAGAAAAUGGAGUGUGCAAAGGGCUGGGGAGCCUGGUGCCUGACUCAGCACUGGUUUGAUUAUGACCAGGCAGGUGUGAGGGCCACUGUCCUGCCUCAAGGGGCAGAACUGACCAGUUGGGGUAUUCCCGUCGUGGCUUGGUGGUUAACGAAUCCGACUGGGAACCAUGAGGUUGUGGGUUCCGUCCCUGGCCUUGCUCAGUGGGUUAAGGAUCCGGUGGCGUUGCCCUAAGCUGUGGUGUAGGUUGCAGACGUGGCUUGUAUCCCGUGUUGCUGUGGCUCUGGUGUAGGCUGGUGGCUACAGCUCCAAUUCGACCCCUAGCCUGGGAACCUCCAUGUGCUGUGGAAGCAGCCCCAGAAAAGGCAAAACAAAACAAAACAAAACAAAACAACAACAACAAAAAAGAACUGACCAGUUGGGAAAGUCUGCUUACAGGUGUACCUCCAGUAAUGAAUCCUUUUCCAUGAAGAUUUUUGUUGAAAUGAGAGGGAGGGAGGGAAGGAAGGAAGAAGGAAGAAAGGCUGUGCACUAAAAUGCCAUUUUACAUAAUUAUUCUAAUCUAUUCUGCUUAUGGGUUUGGGGAACUUAUGGAAUAACAUUCGCAAAAAAUUUUUUAAGUUCUUUCUAGAUGGUGGGCUGUAGGGUAGUUUUAACUUUUCUAUUUUGUAUUUUUCCAUUUUUUGAAUAGUUUUACAGAAAUAAAGUAAAUUCAGGAAACAGAGGUAGAAAUAAGAAAGCCUUUUCCCCAUGGAGGCCAAGUCAUCUGGGACAGCAGAGUUUGGGGGGCAGCAGGGUCCAUGGGUCAGCAAGAGAAGGGGGUGGGGAGUCUCAGGGGUGGUGCAAUGGACAGGGCUGCCAGGGGAACCGGGACAGCGGCACUGGCUUACCCGCCCGCCUGCCUGCCGCAGGCGUGGAGCGGUCACGUGGGAGGCGGCCGUGCUGGGGUGCCAUCCACUAGGGAACCGCACCUACCCCUGGUGCCACGUUUUCUCCUCAGCUGCUCACCUGGCUGAAGGGCGGUGGCGAGCCUGGGGGAAGCUGGCGACACAUGGGCAUCAGGGAACAGCAUCACAGAGGAUUUUUCAAGCAUUCUCUCUCAGCAGGUCUUGAUUCCUUGGGUCUGUGUCACGACCGUUAAUGACCCAUAAACUUCACCCAGCGUGACAUCCUGCACUGGAAGUUGGGGGGUGGGGGGCUGCCCAAACCACUGAAAUUGCCCCCAGGCUGGACCACAUUGGCUACUGCAUCUCCCGGCCCUGCAGGCAGACCCCAUUUUGCAAGGGAGGGACCUCCAUGACAGAGAUGAAGCAUCUGCUGGAGUCCUAGCAGCAGAAGCAGGUGGAGUAUGAAUUACCUGAGAUGCAAACAAGUGGCAAAAUGUUUCUCACAUUGCAUUUCAUUCUGCACACCUUCACUCUGGGCCCUUCCCUUUCCUUGGAACACUCCCCUCCAGUUUGUGCUCUCAGUUCCGCUGCAAAGCCCUUAGCUUUCUGUCGUCUCCCAGCCCUGGGGGCCUUAGGAGUCUGGUGAGCUACUUUGUCGGUCUGGGGGCUGCCCCUUUACUGUGUGUGCCCCCAGCUUCUCUGAGCUCCCCAUUUCCCCUCAGAGCCCUUAUGGCAGGACUUGGAACCUCCUAUGCACCAGUAGAACCAUCACCAGCACAGGGGUGGGGGCCUGUGCACUGGCCCAAAAGCUGGCGAUUCCUGUGUCGACCCCCUACCAUGGCAACAUCUCCGUGGCUCUCUCAGGUAGGGGAGGACUUCCUUUCUCCUGUCUGCCAUGGGGAAUGCUGGGCCUUGGGGUGAAGGGAGGUAUGGCCGGCCUCUCUGUGGCACCCUGAGAGGAGGAGGACACAGGCUGAGGCUCACACCACCAAGGCUUGAGGUCUUACUUAGAACGUCACACUAGCUGAUGAGCUCUGGACAAGGGGUCUGGGGGUACUUGUCUCAGCACCCCCGGAAGACAGAGAUUUUUGGUGGGCAAGAAAGUGUGGGAGUCAGCCAGUUCUGCCCCCUCUCCAGUCGUCUGGAGGCCCCCGGCUCUCUGGGGACUACCUGCCCCUUUGGGCCUGCAGGGGAGCUGCAGGGAAGAGGUGCUGGGGGGGAGCAGGGCUGCCCCACCAGCUGGGGGGCUGGCUGCAGCCAGGACCACUGGAGACUGCUUUCUGCUUGGGGUUGGCUGCUCAGCAAAGCGCCAGGGUGUUACGGAAACUUUUGCACUGUAGUUGGAAACUCCCAUGACACCAAGUGGGGCAGGGACACAGCUCCAGUCACACCCCUGUGUGAGGGGACACAGACAUGGGUGUGAGAACCGCUAAGCACCCAUGACCCCUGCUCCCCAGAUCCAUAAGUUCCUGACCCAUAGAAUAAUGCUAAUGCUGCAGGCCUCCGAGGAAAUUGACAGAACAGCCUUCCAUCUGGUGGUUGAGGACAGAGGCUCAGAAAGGUGCAGUGACUUGCCCAAGGUCACAGAGGCUUAGCCAGAAAUCAGGUUUCCUGGACGUCCCAUCCCCUCCCCUUUUACCGCAGCUCACAGCCCACUCACCCCUCCCCACCUCCUUCCUGGGAUCAGGGGCUCAGCCUGGGGACAGAUGGCCGCAUGAGAUCAGAUGCUGGGUGUGAGGCUGAGGCUUAAGGAGCCGGGGCCUGGCAGCAGCCGGCAGGAGCCUGUUCCUUCUCCCAAUGGCCCUCAGAGUCCCAGUCGCCCUGCGGGCCCAGGGAGGCCUUCUGUGCAAGCUCGCUCUCCAGCAGCAGGGAGCCCCUCAGUUUCCAGAGCUGGGGCAUCGGGGGACCUUCAGCAAGGUCGGGGAGAGGUGGGCUCACCAGACAGGGCCCUCUCUGGAGGAAACUGCUCCCCUCCGGGCCAUCCAUCAGGGGUCCAAGCCCCCUAAAGAUCCAGAUGCCUCUCAGUGUCUACUCCCCACCUGUGUGUCUCUCCUAGCAGCUGCCACACCCUCCCAGCUGCCUGGCUGGCAUUAUGGGGGAGCACUGGGCCUGCCAGGGCUGGGAAGAGCUCUCACUUCAGUGUCUCUGCUGGACUCUUCUCCAGACCCACAUCCUUCUUCCCUGCGUCCACUUUUGUCCCUUUGCAGUGGCUUCUCUACAGGCCAUGCAGUGAGUGUCUGAAAUACACUAAGAUACACUCACACCUUUGUCACAGGGCCACAGGGGCUACUCUCUGGAAACUGGUCCCACUUCUGCCUCCCCAGUGGAGGCAGUGCCCACCCUCGCUGUGUCACUGCUCUGUCAUUGCCUGUUUGUCCAGCGAGUAGGGCCUGGAGGACAGUGCUGGGUCCAGCUCACGCCUGUGCCUGGCAUUUCCUGGAGGUGUGGUGGAGCCUGUCCACCUGGCAGGGGUCCAGGCCUGGCCCUGCGGUUGAGCAGAGCAUGAGGCUGGGGCUCCCGUGGUGCCCAGAGGCCUGUCCAGUAGCUGCUGUGGGGUCAGCGCAUCUUCCUCUCAACGUCCUGACGGAGCAGGCUGUCUGGCUACUGGUAGAAGCACACAUUUUUGUCCUGAGCACAUUUAAGGAAGGAGGGGGGAGGGAGGGAAAGAGGAGAAAGGGCUGAAAGGAGGGAAAGCCCUUACUUCUCGGCCCAAGCUCCCAGCCUCCCCUGGUUUCCUUAGAGGAUUCGGGUUAAAGCCCACACGGCUCUACGAGGCCCUGGGCCCUCCUGCCUUUGUGCACGCCUCCCUCCGCAAAAACAUAUCUCACAGUGUGUCCUCUGGCUGUGUUCAGGUAAAGAUGACUGUAAUCUAGGCUGAAUUCAUCAUUCUGUACCCAUUAUUCAACCACUCAUUUUUCCUUCUGAUCUUAAAUUCAGACAUUCCAUGCCCCCGCCACCAACCCCGCCGAAUGUCGUGGGCCCCAGCCCCGUGCUUCCUGGGCCGCUGGAGGUCUCGGGGUGGGGGUGUCUGAGUGCCUCUCCAUCAAGGAGAGGCAGGGGUGUGGUGAGCGGGAGCCCCCACAGUUCUGAUUGGAGUCAGAGGAGGAAAAGGCAGGCCCCACAGGACCGUGUGUGGAGACGCGAUACAUCUAGAAGCACAGAAAUAAGCAGCCCUGGGAGACUCCCUGGAAGCUUGUCCGCCCUGUGCCAGGCUCCUGGCCCCUGCUGGGAGGGCCGCCACCGGCGCCUCUGUCACCCACAUGCAACUGCACCAGCCCCUCCUGCCGAGGCUCCCAGAGCCAUUUGUGACAAGUCACAAGUCAGUGCUGGGCCCAAGCCACAUGGAUCUGAUGCCACAUGGGAAGGAGUUGGUGUGGGGGCUGCUUUAAAGACUCGGGGGAAUAAAAUUUCUGAGUGGGCGGGGCAAGAACGAAGGGCGCAGGCAUAGGUGUUGGUUGGUUCUUCUGAUUCCUUGACUGCAGUUACAGUUCCAGUCAGUAAAUUCUGGGAGGAUCUCCCGAGCUGGGCAUUAGAAUUUGUUAAAAGUCUUCUUAUGAAUCUCUUUAGCAGUGGAUGUUUGGGAUGAAAGGAGAGAGGGCGUAGGCUUCGUGUGCCCUGGAGCCUGACCCCCAACCACACAGUGUGCCCUGUGUUCUCUCCAGGAAGGGGACAAUCCUGUCAUCAUCCAUCCUCAGGAAUCUUCUGAGCACACAUAGCAGGGGUGUAGGGGGUGGGAGAAGGUGCGUCCCUGGUGUGUCUGGAUGGCCUGGGAGUCAGGAUUCCAAGGACUCCUCCUUCCCUCUGCUGUGUCAGUAGCUACGCUCCUUGACUCGGGCCCCCUCAUCCUCUUUUCCAGUUCAGAAAUGACCAACAUUAGU
rnacentral:lncRNA from 1 species